rnacentral:lncRNA from 1 species
GACCCUGACUGGACUGGUGACUGUGCAGUUUACUGUCACCGGACCAGUGAACUAAUCACCCUUCCAUACAAUGCAGCCAUGCCAGUGUCCCUGAAGGUCCUUGAGCAUGAAAUCUUCACACUAACACCUAUCAAGGUUUUGGCACCAGGAUUCAGUUUUGCGCCCUUGGGACUCAUCAAUAUGUACAACUCGGGUGGUGCCAUUGAGGGGCUAAAAUAUGAAACUAAAGCUGGUGGCAAGUUAUCAGAGCUUGAUGUUGGAUAUGGAGGUGAAAGCAGCAGUUUAGGCG